rnacentral:misc_RNA from 1 species
GGAGGGAUCAUUAACACGAUGAGAGACGCGUUAAACCGUCUCCCAUUUUCCACCCAACGUGAACUCGGUUGGAUGAUUGCUUUGUCAAUCGUUCAACCAUUCCUCCCUUUGUCUGUUGUGGAACUGUUGGAAUCCGAUGUGUAGUGGGCCAAUUGCUGGCCAUCUGUUCCAACUGGUAGAGCUUGACUCUACGGUUCCCAACGACUUAGGCAAUUCUUCAUUUCAGCCACUACAGAAAUAACCCUAUUCACCCUUCAUAUAUUUAAUGGACUGAUCCAAGAGUGAUACAUUCAGUUGUAACUCUCUCUAAGAUACGAUAAACUAAGCACAACUCUUAGCAACGGAUAUCUUGGUUCUCGCAACGAUGAAGAACGCAGCGAAAUGCGAUAUGUAAUGCGAAUUGCAGAAUUCAGUGAAUCAUCAAAUCUUUGAACGCAAAUGGCGCUCUAGGGAUAGACCCAAGAGCACGCCUCUCUCAGUAUCGGUGAAUCAACAACCUCUCGACUCUCUUGGAAACUUGAGUAGUUGAGGAAAAUGAGUGUCUUCGGACUGUGGUUCAGCUUCGGCUGAUCGACGACUCGAAGUCGCUUGAAGUUCACUUACCAGAGUCGUGUCGAUCUCUCCUAGUACCUUCCCUCCUCAAAACAGGGAAUAGCUUUACAAUGGCUUGCGAGUUCUAGUGACGUGGAUAAACUUGACGAUACCGUCAAUUGAAACGUCAAUCAACUGGAUAUCAAAGGCAACACUUGGAAAGCGAAAAGCUAGACAGACUUUAACACGGAAACGAAUGGCCAAACCUUUGAUCUUCGGAUCUCAGCACUGGCUUUUCUUCUCAUUCGAUCUGAGAUGAAGCGAGACUACCCCCUGAAUUUAAGCAUAUUAUUAAGGGGAGGAAAAGAAACUAACAAGGAUUUCCCCAGUAACGGCGAGUGAAGCGGAAAUAGCUCAAAUUGAAAAUCCAGGAUCUACACAGGUCUUUGGAAUUGUAUCCUAUUCGACGUGCUAUCAGCGUGUGACUCAAGUACAAGUCCUUUGGAACAAGGCAUCAAAGAGGGUGAGAAUCCCGUCUCUGACUUGAGCUUUUUCAUUUCACCGCGUACGAUGCAUGUUCUUCGAGUCGAGUUGUUUGGGAUUGCAGCUCUAAAUGGGUGGUAAGUUUCAUCUAAAGCUAAAUAUUGGCGAGAGACCGAUAGCGAACAAGUACCGUGAGGGAAAGAUGAAAAGAACUUUGAAAAGAGAGUGAAAAAGUACUUGAAAUUGCUAAGAGGGAAGCGCGAGAACAUCAGUGAGCUGUACCAUGCCCAUUUUGCCCCUUCCCAAUCUUCUCGACAUAUGUGCAGUUGGCAACUCUGCUAGUGUGUUGUAGGAGGCGGGGAGAGGGUCCUGUGGGUGUGGGAUGUCAGAAUGAGUUGGAGGUGCGGGAGACGCUCUUAGGAAAGAUAGGGUAGCAGCAAUGUUAUCUGUUAUAGUCCUGGGAGAAGACCGUGCCUUCGACUGAGGAACUUCAGGGUGCGCCACUAGGCAUGGAACUCGGCUCCUGGUUGGUCACGUGGGUUCGAUGACAAUGUCAUCUGGCUUGCGUUGGCUGGCUACUGGGUUGAUCUUCUAUUUGCAUCGUCUUGUUGAUUCUGACUAAAUGGUUUCUCUCGACCCGUCUUGAAACACGGACCAAGGAGUCUAACAUCUAUGCGAGUAUUUGGGUGGAAAACCCGCGAAUGCGAAAUGAAAGUAAGGCAGCUUGCUGCUGUGGUAGGAAACCAGCUGACCAACGUCAGCGGUGGCACUAUCGACCGAUCCUCACUUGUGAGCCGAUUUGAGUAAGAGCAUAUCUGUUGGGACCCGAAAGAUGGUGAUCUAUGCCUGAACAGGGUGAAGCCAGUUGAAAAGCUGGUGGAGGCUCGUAGCGAUACUGACGUGCAAAUCGUUCGUCUGAUUUGGGUAUAGGGGCGAAAGACUAAUCGAACUAUCUAGUAGCUGGUUCCCUC